CCUGCGGCGUGCCUACCAUGCAAGUCGAGCGAUCUCUUCGGAGAGAGCGGCGGACGGGUGAGUAACGCGUGGGUAACCUGCCCUGUACACACGGAUAACAUACCGAAAGGUAUACUAAUACGGGAUAACAUACGAAAGUCGCAUGGCUUUUGUAUCAAAGCUCCGGCGGUACAGGAUGGACCCGCGUCUGAUUAGCUAGUUGGUAAGGUAAUGGCUUACCAAGGCAACGAUCAGUAGCCGACCUGAGAGGGUGAUCGGCCACACUGGAACUGAGACACGGUCCAGACUCCUACGGGAGGCAGCAGUGGGGAAUAUUGCACAAUGGGCGAAAGCCUGAUGCAGCAACGCCGCGUGAGCGAUGAAGGCCUUCGGGUCGUAAAGCUCUGUCCUCAAGGAAGAUAAUGACGGUACUUGAGGAGGAAGCCCCGGCUAACUACGUGCCAGCAGCCGCGGUAAUACGUAGGGGGCUAGCGUUAUCCGGAAUUACUGGGCGUAAAGGGUGCGUAGGUGGUUUUUUAAGUCAGAAGUGAAAGGCUACGGCUCAACCGUAGUAAGCUUUUGAAACUAGAGAACUUGAGUGCAGGAGAGGAGAGUAGAAUUCCUAGUGUAGCGGUGAAAUGCGUAGAUAUUAGGAGGAAUACCAGUAGCGAAGGCGGCUCUCUGGACUGUAACUGACACUGAGGCACGAAAGCGUGGGGAGCAAACAGGAUUAGAUACCCUGGUAGUCCACGCCGUAAACGAUGAGUACUAGGUGUCGGGGGUUACCCCCCUCGGUGCCGCAGCUAACGC
rnacentral:rRNA from 1 species